AAUAGCCUAACGGCUGAACCAGCAACUUGGAGGAAUGUAUAGGGAAAACUGGUAAAAUGUGAUGUACCUAGUAAUAUUAGUGAUUAAUACGAGAUUAACUAAGUUAAUUAAAAUUCUAAGUAGAUAUGUGAUUAUGACAAUAUGUGCUUAUGUCUUGACCAAGUCACGUGCCAGCGGUCGCGGUAAUACGUGGAAGAUUAGUGUUAUUCAUCUUUAACAGGUUUAAAGGGUACCUAGACGGUUAAUUAAGCUGUAGAAGGUACUAAUUAACUAGAGUUUAAUGUAAGAAAGAUUGAGUACGGUGAGUGUAGAGAUAAAAUUCAGUCAUACCACUUAGGAACUGGUAAAGGCGAAGGCAACUUUCUAUGUAAAAACUGACGUUGAAGGACGAAGG
rnacentral:rRNA from 3 species